rnacentral:rRNA from 1 species
AUUGAACGCUAGCGGGAUGCUUUACACAUGCAAGUCGAGCGAGCGGCGGACGGGUGAGUAAUGUAUGGGGACUGCCCGAUAGAGGGGGAUAACUACUGGAAACGGUAGCUAAUACCGCAUACUUACGGAAGACCCAUAUGGGAUUAGCUAGUAGGUGAGGGAAGGGCUCACCUCGGCGACGAUCCCUAGCCGGUCUGAGAGGAUGAUCAGCCACACUGGGACUGAGACACGGCCCAGACUCCUACGGAGGCAGCAGUGGGGAAUAUUGCACAAUGGGCGCAAGCCUGAUGCAGCCAUGCCGCGUGUAUGAAGAAGGCCCUAGGGUUGUAAAGUACUUUCAGUCGGGAGGCGUUACCGACAGAAGAAGCACCGGCUAACUCCGUGCCAGCAGCCGCGGUAAUUC